rnacentral:rRNA from 1 species
UACGAAGGGGGCUAGCGUUGCUCGGAAUCACUGGGCGUAAAGGGUGCGUAGGCGGGUCUUUAAGUCAGGGGUGAAAUCCUGGAGCUCAACUCCAGAACUGCCUUUGAUACUGAGGAUCUUGAGUUCGGGAGAGGUGAGUGGAACUGCGAGUGUGGAGGUGAAAUUCGUAGAUAUUCGCAAGAACACCAGUGGCGAAGGCGGCUCACUGGCCCGAUACUGACGCUGAGGCACGAAAGCGCGGGGAGCAAACAGG